rnacentral:lncRNA from 1 species
CUGCACAUCCAAAUGGUACAAGGACAGGAUGCGAUGGAUACACAGACAUCUAUCUAGAGGUCAAAAAUAACUACUUCCAGAGGCCUGAAAAUGGUCGAUCCAUUUUCUUCAGCAAGAACUGAAAACUGGAUAUUUUCUCAGACCCUAGGAAACCAGCACUAAAUGUUACAGAUGAGGUGUGAGACGCAAGGGAAGCUGAUGAAGCCUCCAGCAGAAGUGCUCCAUUGGAUCAGAAGUUUUUCAUGGAGAUGAUAAGGCAUGCAUCUAUGGAAGAGAGACACUGG